CCGAAGGUUCCUCGUGAUACCUGUUUUGAUCUUCAGUGCGUACGAGAGAGAAAACGAAAACGUCAGAGAGUGGAGAGAGGAAUUGCUGUCGUUCCAGAAAGAGGGACCGAGAGAGGGGAGAGGGAGAGGGAGAGGGAGAGGGAAUCAGUUUUUCUUCUCCAGAGAGAGGCCCGAGAAAUCGUUUAGUUCUUCCAUCUCUCCGGCCCUCAAUUGCUACGGCCACUACCUCGCUUUCUCGGCACGCUCUGUUACCGGCGGCUCUGUUCCGCGUCGGAAGGUCACCAAGUGACGGGUUCCCAGUGACAACCCCGCUACCGCUGCCCGGUCUCGACCGAGACGUUCCAGGGACCUCUUCACGUGCCGAUUCUGCAAGUGGCCUCAACCAGUUACCUCUCUCGAACAAGAAUCUCACUUUAUCCUCGACAAUAUCGGGAAUUACAUAAGAUAUUGUGUUGGCGAAAUCAAGUUAUUCCAUUAGAAGCAUGGUCAACAAAAGAUGAUCCUAUUUUGGAGAUUCGUCAAUGAUUGAAGCAAUUGAUGUACCUCUAGAAGGACCCACGUCCAUUUGAAUUGUUCGCCAAGGCUGAGAAAAUGUAUCUAGAAAAGGGGUAAAUUUUAUGUCUUGUAGGAGCUUGAUUUGUUUUCUCAAUUUCUCCAUUUUAGCCAUUUGGUCUUCAAAAUAAA